UGCCAGCAGCCGCGGUAAUACGAAGGGGGCUAGCGUUGUUCGGAAUUACCGGGCGUAAAGCGCACGUAGGCGGACUUUUAAGUCAGAUGUGAAAUCCCAAGGCUCAACCUUGGAACUGCAUUUGAAACUGGGAGUCUAGAGAUCAGGAGAGGUUAGUGGAAUUCCUAGUGUAGAGGUGAAAUUCGUAGAUAUUAGGAGGAACACCAGUGGCGAAGGCGACUUGCUGGACUGUAACUGACGCUGAGGCUCGAAAGCGUGGGGAGCGAACAGGAUUAGAUA
rnacentral:rRNA from 1 species